GUUCCGCGCGCUGAAGACGGAGAGCAGAUCAAUGCAUUUACCCGCGCGCACACUAAAUACACCGACACUUCUAUAUAAAGACAAAGGCCUCGGGUCUGUGUGUUAUAACGCUACCGACGCGACCAAACGACGCGGAGAGAAGACGUCGUCGUCGUCAGAGACGUAGUGAACGAGUGGACGCCCAGGAUGGAUGUUUUGUGUUUUCUGUACUUGUCUCACGUUGAGCCACGCGCACAAUACCUGCAGAUGAAAAGGUUUUGUUCGUUCGGCUCGCGUUAAGCAGAUGCAGACCCUCGCCAGUAAAACACCCCAUCGGCUGAUAUCUCUCCGUCGCGCAGUGAUAUGCUGAUUAACUAUAAAAUAUGCUCAGUCGAUGAAAUAUGCAGACUAAUUUCUAUGUUCAUUGCCUAUUUAUUUACUUGGCGUGUAGACCAAAGCAAGUAUGUUAAAAGCUUUUUAAUUAUUCAUUUACUGAUUAACCAGUAGCACUUGUAAUAUACUGUAAGGUCAACAUUUUGUGAAUUAAACCAUUACAUAUAUAACCGUGACAUUCUGUUUUCUAUGUAUAUAUUUGUAAUAAUCAGUAUAUUGCCAUUAAAACUCAAAUACAGACAAUUGAUGAAAAGCCCUGGUGUUUAAUAUGUGAAUAAGUGUGUAAAUAUCCUUACUAAAUUUUUUUUUAUAUCCUU